UACAGAGGUCUCAAGCGUUGUUCGGAUUCAUUGGGCGUAAAGGGUGCGUAGGCGGCGCGGUAAGUCGGGUGUGAAAUCUUGGAGCUUAACUCCGAAACUGCAUUCGAUACUGCCGUGCUUGAGGACUGGAGAGGAGACUGGAAUUUACGGUGUAGCGGUGAAAUGUGUAGAGAUCGGGAGGAACACCGGUGGCGAAGGCAGCUCUCUGGGACGGUACUGACACUGAGACGCGAAAGCGUGGGGAGCGAACAGG
rnacentral:rRNA from 1 species